rnacentral:rRNA from 1 species
CCUACGGGAGGCAGCAGUGGGGAAUUUUGGACAAUGGGCGAAAGCCUGAUCCAGCCAUGCCGCGUGAGUGAAGAAGGCCUUCGGGUUGUAAAGCUCUUUUAGUCGGAAAGAAAGAGUCGCAAUGAAUAAUUGUGAUUUAUGACGGUACCGACAGAAAAAGCACCGGCUAACUACGUGCCAGCAGCCGCGGUAAUACGUAGGGUGCGAGCGUUAAUCGGAAUUACUGGGCGUAAAGGGUGCGCAGGCGGUUUUGCAAGUCAGAUGUGAAAGCCCCGGGCUUAACCUGGGAAUUGCGUUUGAAACUACAAGGCUAGAGUGCAGCAGAGGGGAGUGGAAUUCCAUGUGUAGCAGUGAAAUGCGUAGAGAUGUGGAAGAACACCGAUGGCGAAGGCAGCUCCCUGGGUUGACACUGACGCUCAUGCACAAAAGCGUGGGGAGCAAACAGGACUAGAUACCCUGGUAGUCCACGCCCUAAACGAUGUCAACUGGUUGUCGGAUCUAAUUAAGGAUUUGGUAGCGUAGCUAACGCGUGAAGUUGACCGCCUGGGGAGUACGGUCGCAAG